GGGCCAGCCCUGAGCCGGGCAGACACCUCCCCGAGAAGGUCAAGGCAAAAUCUGGGCCCUGACACGCAUCUCCCAAAGUGCCUGAUGGCUCAGUACAGUGGUUUCUUAGGCUUUGCAAAGGGGCAAGCAGCUCUACUGUCAUCUUGCAGUCUUCACCUUAGGCAGCCUGCCCAUUUAAGGAUUGCGUGGGAAUUGCAGCAUGCAGCCAUACCUGUUUCCUAUAAACAGUUUACACUGUUUUCUUAACUCCUUUUUUAAUCUUAUUUUUUGGGCAAUAGUAUUUUUCUGAUGUGAGACUGAUUACAAGAUACUAGGAUACUAAAUGCUUGGGAGUACAUGGAGGAGGCUGAAUUCAUUUAUCAGCUGUGAUUUGCUUGUCAUCAAAACUCCUGGUUUAGAAAGUGUUGCCAUUAGCAUCUAGGAUCUGAAUAGAGGAUGUAACAUUGAACAGUUACAGCUGAGACCAAUACUACCAUUUAUCAUUAAGAUUUUCUUUGGUCUCUUCAUUAUAAGAGCUCAUCUUCUCGGUUGCCAAAGCUUCAAAUAUAAGCUGAUAUUUUUAAGACCUCUUCCACUUAUAACUAAUAUUUGAAGCCAGCUCAGCUGUUGACGGCCUGUUGACUCAGGUUCAAAUAGCCCAGCAUAACUGAAGGCAGAAAGUCUCACUGUUGAGAUAGAUUAAUGCCAAACAGGUAAUGCUCAAGUACAAUAAUUAGGAAAUCAGAAGGAAUUAAAAAAGAUAUAGGUAAGGCACACUACCAACCACUAGACAAAUUCCUUCUCUCUUUAGCUGGAUAUUGCUAAUGACUAAUGUACACAUCAUGAACAACAAGCAGGAGUCAGAAGCCACUGUGCUAGAAAGAUAUGACCUUGUUGCCAUUACUGAAACUUGGUGAGAGGAAUCCCAUGAUUGGACAAUGAUUAUCGACAGCUAUCGACAGACUGUUCAGAACAGAGGUAGGAGAGGUGGAGAGAUUGCCCUUCUACAUCAGGGGCUGAAUUGAGUGUGAGAAGCUUUCUUUGAAGAACAAUUCAAAAACCCAUGGGUAAGAAUCAGAGAUCAAGGCAACAAAGAGAACCUCCUAGCUGAUGUCUAGUACAGACCACCUGAUGCAGGGGAGCCUAUUGCUGAAGCCUUCUUUCUCCCACCACAGAAGGCAUCGUGCUCACUGGCUCUUGUCCUGCUGGGACACUUCAGCCUCCCCAACAUCUGCUGGGAAAGUAGCACAGCGAGCUGCAGGCAGUACAGGACAGUCCUGCAGUGCAUGGGGAAUAACUUCUUGAGCCAGGUAAUAGACAGCCCUUCCAGAGGGGAGGCCGUACUGGGUCUGUUGGUCACCAGCACAAGUGAGCUAAUCACAGAUGUCGAGACUGGAGGCAGCCUGGGAUGCAGUGUGGAGUUUGCAGUCCUGAGCGAUAUGGGUCAGGUAAGGAGUAAAGUCAGAAUCAUGAGCUCUAGGAUCUUCAGGUCUUCAAAGCAAUAGGAUCCCUUGGCAAACUGCCCACAGGAACAAAGGAGGCCAAUGGAGCUGGCAAAUCUUUAAAAAGCUCUUCCGUUGAGAGCAACACCUGGCAAUCCCAGGAGUAAGAAAGCAGGGCAAGGAAGGCAAGAGACCUGCAUGGCAGAGUAGGGAACUGCUGGUCAAACUAAAGGGCAAGAUGCAUUUAAAUGCAUAGGUGGUGGAAACAAGGACAGGUAUGUAUGCCAUUGUUGAGUUGCAAGCUUGUUGGGUGAGUUUAAGGGGAAAGGUAAUUGUGUUCACUCUGGCGGUGCACAAGAGAAAAAUCAAAAUUCUCAGGAGAUUUAAAUACAAAAUUUUACUUUAGAACACAAAGAUAAAAUAAGGUAUUUGGCAAAUUUAGAAACAACUUCCAGUUCAAAGUAAGUCACGUCAUAAACUUUAUCUCUAGGAAAUUUAGAAUUAGACAACUUCAACUUAUCCAGACACAACUGGCCCUUACUAAAGCAUUGACUGGAUCUUUUUAGUCUGGCUUAAGACAUAUUUCAAUAAAUUAGCAGCAGAAAGAGAGAAAGAGAAAAAAAAAAAAAAAAAGGAGAGGGAAAGAUAUAUACAGUCAAUGCCUUAGAUCCACCAUGGCCUCAGCUACUUGUAAAUCCCAGGCAGUGGCACUCAUCAGCAUCACAACAGUGCCGCUCCUUUUUGUCUUCUCUGGUCUCCCAGGGCUCUUCCCCAGGUACAUGCCUGCACUUUAAUGUACCCAAUGGGCCCAUAGAGACCAGUUUUGGGCUGUCAGUGUGCCAUGUGCUUUGGCAGACACUGUAGGACCAGACCAGAGGCUCCAGGGGCAGGGUGUGGAACACUGCACUGCCCCACCUAUUCAGACCUUGCCCUGCCCCUUCCCAAACACACACACACACACACACACACACACACACACACACACACAGAGUCUGCCUAGUUGUUUUGAGUCAGUCUAUCCAUUCUCUGGUCUCCUGUAGAGAACUGCCCAGAAAGCCAAUCAUAUCUUGGGCUGCAUCUUGGGACAGUGGGUCGAGGGAGUUGAUUCUGCCCCUCUGCAACAGAUAUUGCAAUUAAACUACCUAUACAUACAUAUUUGCCAGUAUGUUGUUUUUUUUAAACCUCUUUAUGAUACUCUUUUCUAAUAUUCAGAUUUGAAUAAGAAUUGUCUAUAAAUGUUCCAAAGAGCACCCCAGAGAAGAAUUCCUAUAGCUGUGUGCAGACUGUUUGAGAUAGCAGCCAAAAUCUACAAGAGGAAUAGCACAGAGAAGUAAAAGUGCCCUACAACAAAAGAAUUUAAAUAUUUGAAUUUUUUUCAAAGGGCUUUUAUUUUAAUUCUUUAACCAUUUUCAUUUAAAAUUGCUGGAAAUCAUGCAGAAGGUGAUAUGAUAUAGGGGCACAGAGAUGUACAGAACCCCAGACUGAUCUACUGGUAUCUUGAACUUCAAAUUCAUAGCUGGAGAAUUUUUCCUAGGAGCAAGAACAAACAUGAUAUUUGAAGACUAUUUCUAACUCUAAUCUUAUAACAGAACAACACAUAACAGCACCCCUCUAAGGUUCUAAACAAGCAUCUGCUAUGCUCUAUGAACAAACAGUACACAGAUGCUGGAAAUCAUCUGGGAAGCAUGAUUCAGAGUUAAUAAACUAAAAUAGAAAUUUGCCCAUAGGGAAAAAGAGAAAAUGUGCUUUUUUUUUUUUUUUUCCUCCAGAGAAUUCUCUUAGAAACUUAGAAAGGGUGUUUCUGAUGUCUAACUUAUGACUAUCCAUUUCUUUAAGAUGGAAUAUCUAGUGCCACUCAAAGAGAGAAAAUAGACUUUAUCUGAGAAACAGUUAUAUGCCUGCCAAAGCCAGAAUUGUUACCUCCACUAGAAAAUAACCAAAAGAUAGUUGUGUCAGUUGUCUAGCAAAGCUGCUAGCCUAACACAAAAAAUAGCUAAUUAUCAUACUUCAUCCCUAAAAAUAACACAGAUCUGUUACAUAUAGAAUCCUUGAGACAUAUAGUUUUUAGCGAUUUUGUUUUUCAACAGCUAAAAUCCAAACACCCAGUUUUUCUACCCCAAAAUAUCCCCUUUUUAAAAAGGACAUAGCUUCUCCAGACUUGGAUGCAUUUCCAAAGCUGCAAAGAUUUUCAUGGAUAUCCUCUAACUGCAUUAAAGAUACUUCAUCCAUUCUCUAAGCAUCCUGCAGUAAAUGUCAUCAAGGCUAGACUAUUUAAGACUGCCUUAAUUAGAUUUUUCCUGGCAUUGCUAACUGCUUCACCUGAUUGAAAUAUCAAAGUUUUCUUUUCUGCAGCUGCAUCUCAGCAGUUGUCACUGUCUGAGUCAAUACUGCACAGACGUGAUUCCAGCUGCUGUGUUUAGCUGCAAGGUUUUGAUGGCAAAGCCAGUCCUCCCUGAUCUGUUAGUGUACCACCUUGUAUUUUGAAAUUUUAUAUUAAUUGCCUUAAUUGUAUUGGUUUUGUCUUCUCCAGUUCUUCUCUACCUUGUUGUUUUAUUAGUGUACUUGUCAUUAGACUACUUCUCAUUUUUCUAUUCUACUCUGAAGCCAUCAGUUGAAAUAUUAAGCAAGAUCUUUAUUCAGAAUAGAUCCUGGUGGCAGCUUUUGUGAUGAUGACAGAACAGUUAAGCAGUGUCUGCAUUCUCAGGAAUCUACAUUUUUUGAUGUGUGUGUCAAUGUGUCUGUGUGUUAGUCUUUGGACAGGACAGUCUAUUCUGUUUCCUGCCUGCUGGCUGCAUAGUUAGCCAGGCUUGAUGGGAGAGGAUCACUGAAUCAGCCAAAUGCUAAAAGUCAAAAUGUGCCUUAAGACCUGCCCCAUGACAGUGCCACUGUUUACUUACUGACCUUCAGAGAGGUCAAGAUGUGAUGCUGCUUUGCUCCUCUUCUCCUAUGGAAGCAGCCAGUAAGAAUUCUUCUGAAUUAUUGUAUCUACUCAAUGUUUUGGUUGUAUUGGAUGAGAGAUGGUCCCAAAUGAAUCAUCUCAACUAAUGAACUCUCAAAUUGUCUGAGAGUUCAUGUAAGCAAAGGUCAGUAGCAGAUGCAGACUAAUUCCUUUCUUGGAUGUGUUGGCUCUCCUGUAAAUACGUGGUUUUCUUUGACAAAUAGAUGUGAAACUGUUCACUGGAGAAAGAGAAAAUGGUAACAGCCUUGAAACCCACUCCCUGUCCUGUAUCUUACAGCUGCACAAUGAGAUUGAUGCUCCAUUACUCCUAGCUGUUGCAAAUCUGAAGAGUUAUUUGAUCCCUUGUGUCCUAGACAACACCUGCCAGCUUUGUUAUUCCCUGGGUAGCAGGAAUAGGACUGACAGUGAGUGGGAAGAGCUUGUCUGUAUUUCAAAAUAAAAUAGAAAAUUCUUUUAUACCUUAUUUUACUAUCUUGGCAAGAUGUAAUUCUCCUUGAACCUUGGCAAUUCUCAUGUUACCUUUGCAUAUGACUUCCGAGAGUUAGCAAUUUUUCUCUGAUCAGAUGACUUUUUUGUUCCCUGUAAGUUAUCAUCUUGUUUGGCACUUCACAGAUGGUAAUUCAGGCUAGUUCUCAAGUAUACAAGUUCUUUCCACACCCCCUUUGCUUGAAAUUGUGACUCCUUGUAGUUUUAUUGAUUUGUAUAGUCUUAUACAGUUCUGUACCAGCUCUGUAUCAACUAGUCCUUUAAAAAGUUGACUCUAAUUAGUCCCCCUGAUGAAUGAAAGAUUACCUUUUGAAAUUGAGAACUUCAUGGAAUUGAUAUGAAUAAGUAUAAAUUAUGCAGUAAAAUCCAGCAUGUCAGCCUCUCCACAGAAACCAGUUGUACCUUGCACCUGCCUAAUCCUUCACUAAGGGUAAAUUGAUCUGACUCUACAGUAUGACCAUAAGUACAAUUGACCACUUUGCAAGUUUCCACUUCAUUCCACCAUAACUUGCAUGUCAAGAUUUAAAUAUCUUUCUUCAUUUUAUAUUCUAGCAUAAUUAAUUUUUAUUAAUUCAUAUUUAUACCGUACUGUGAUGUUAUUUGCUCAUUGGAUUAAGAGAUAUUUAGUGUUGAAUUUUGCAAAAACAGUCAUCAGUGUCUACACCACAUUACGAUUUAAUACUACUAUUACGUCAGUGUCUAUUACCACAUUACUAAUUCUACUGUCUAUGUGUGGAAGAGGUUUUACAGCUACUUCUCUGAGCUACAGAGAAGUUUGAUAAGAGGACCCUGAAAGAAUUUCCUAUCAAGGUCGUUGACAUGGAAACCAAGAAAGAGAGAAGGAUAAAUAAGAGAAACCUGCAACUCUCUAUUCCAAUAAGCACUUUGUUUGUCUCUUCUGACCAAUGAGUUAAGUGUAAACUUAGGAGUUUUUUACGAAUGUAUAAAAAGCAUGCAUGCUAGAAUAAAAACGGUUUUGAAGCCUUCUGAAA